UAUCUCCUGCAGUGUUUGACAGUGUGCUGGGUGUUUCCUGAACCUGUAAUAACCCCGGGGGCAAAUAAUCGCUAAUGGUGUGCAUGCCCGUUUCGACGAGAAGCCUGAUUUAACGACCCUGUCCCCACUUGAACCUCCGGUUCAAGGACGAAAGCACAUAUCGGCACAGGUGGGAGAUGC
rnacentral:other from 1 species